rnacentral:rRNA from 1 species
GUCGAACGAGAAGUACCUUCGGGUGCGAGUACAGUGGCGGACGGGUGAGUAACGCGUAGGAAUAUACCUGGUAGUGGGGGACAACUCGGGGAAACUCGAGCUAAUACCGCAUACGCUCUACGGAGGAAAGUGGGGGAUCUUCGGACCUCACGCUAUCAGAGUAGCCUGCGUUGGAUUAGCUAGUUGGUGGGGUAAAGGCUCACCAAGGCGACGAUCCAUAGCUGGUCUGAGAGGACGAUCAGCCACACUGGAACUGAGACACGGUCCAGACUCCUACGGGAGGCAGCAGUAGGGAAUAUUGGGCAAUGGGCGAAAGCCUGACCCAGCGAUGCCGCGUGUGUGAAGAAGGCCUUAGGGUUGUAAAGCACUUUCAGCAGUGAAGAAAUGUCGGAGGUUAAUAACUUCCGGCUUUGACGUUAACUGCAGAAGAAGUACCGGCUAACUCCGUG